rnacentral:tRNA from 1 species
AGAGACGUGGUGUAGGUACGCACCCCGCCGGCACAUGGCGCUUGACCGCGCAAAUACCGGGGGUGGAGGGGGUUCGAUUCCCCCCGUCUCGC